rnacentral:rRNA from 1 species
GGGGGAUGGGCGCAAGCCUGAUCAGCCAUGCCGCGUGGAUGAUGAAGGCCCUAGGGUUGUAAAAUCCUUUCGUCGGGGACGAUAAUGACGGUACCCGAAGAAGAAGCUCCGGCUAACUUCGUGCCAGCAGCCGCGGUAAUAAUC